rnacentral:sRNA from 1 species
AUUUUUUGUGAGAUAGAAAAUCCUACUAUAUUAUUUGGGAAGUACAUUUUAAAUAUAACCUUAAUUUUUGUAAGUAAUUACAUAGGUAUGCCAUUAGAAAUAAAAUUUUAAAGAGUAAAUUAAUUUAUCUCUUUAAAGAUUAAAAAGUAAAUUAAUUUAUCUCUUUAAAGAUUAAAAAGUCAAAUACUAAUUUAAUUAAUUAAAUUUAAUUAAAAAAACGAAAUACAUUAUUAAUUUUCAAAAAUAAUAACCAAUCAAAAUAAACAUAUAAGAUUUGAUAUCUAAAUUUUCACU